UCGAAGAAUUUGGGGCUCACUUCCUCCUUCCCUCCACCUAAAAAAUUUUGUUUCCCUCCAUUAAAGUUAAAUCGACCGCUAAAGAAAUUUCUCAUCCCUCCAUUGAAAAUUCCCACUCUAAAAUCAUAGUUUGAUUGAUUAUAUUCGUGCUUCCCUCACCUUCAACAAGUUUCAUCAAACCGGCCUCACUGUUCGGACUUCGGGUUAGGGUUUCACCUUCAGUCGGAUUCGCCGAUACCUACAAACAUUCAAUUGAUCUUCAGUUCAUACUAACCGUUCAAGAAUUACAGUUCUCACCAUUGAUCUCCAGUCCAAACCUACUAAUGAUUAAGUUGAUUUGUUCUCCAUCGAAGUUAUCUUCUCAUUUUAUUUUCUCUGCUGCGUUUUUUUAGUAAUGGUGAUGAAUCUGUUAUACAUCUUCUACGGGAAUGUUGUUGGAUUCGAGAUGUCUAGAGUAUGUUUCAAGACUGGUGCGAGCUUGAUCUCUCUGAUAUUAAUUAUGUUGAGCAUCUCCUCUCUGUCUCCCACUCCUUUGCCAAAUCGCCUUCUCAACUAAAGAUGACUCACGCGAUCAUUCUUUCGGCUCUUUGGUCUUUGUGGAAAGCCAGAAACGACUACUCCUUUAACAAUAUUGCUCCAUCUCGGACCCGUAUUUUUGAAGAUAUCAAGGCGAACUCUUUCAUGUGGAUAAAAAACAGGAGAGGGGGUACCUCCUUAAAUUGGUCUUCUUGGUGCAUUUUUCCUUUGAUGUAAUUCUUGUACUUUUAUUUUUUUUUCUAUCGUUCUACUUUUCCCCUACCCGCUGCGGUUUAAUAAAAAUUUCGCAGUUCAAAAAAAAAAAAAAACUUUAAAACUAAUUAAGACUUGUAACAAGUUCCCAUAAUACCCUAAUCGAACUCUAACUAUAAUACCAUAUGGAAAGAAAACGUUUUGAUUCCCAUACUAAAAACUCAAAUCAGCUGAAAUACCAUCCAUCGCUUGAUUGAUUAUUUCUUGGGGAAAAUGACUUGUAAGAGUAACGAAGUAUUAGACUUGUACAAAAAAUACAAUUGAAUUUUUUUUUGUACACAUAUCACCAA